UACGUAGGGUGCAAGCGUUAUCCGGAAUUAUUGGGCGUAAAGAGCUCGUAGGCGGUUUGUCGCGUCUGCUGUGAAAACUGGAGGCUCAACCUCCAGCCUGCAGUGGGUACGGGCAGACUAGAGUGCGGUAGGGGAGAUUGGAAUUCCUGGUGUAGCGGUGGAAUGCGCAGAUAUCAGGAGGAACACCAAUGGCGAAGGCAGAUCUCUGGGCCGUAACUGACGCUGGAGGAGCGAAAGCAUGGGGAGCGAACAGG
rnacentral:rRNA from 1 species